rnacentral:misc_RNA from 1 species
GUAAUUAUUAUGUUUUUUUCAGACGCUGAUUGCAACUGCAAAGGUUUUAAUUUUUUGUCUUCGGCGGGCGGACCCGCCGAGGAAACGUAAGUACUCAAAAGACAUGGGUAAGAGAUAGCAGGCAAAGCCCGCAACUCUAGGUAAUGAUCCUUCCGCAGGUUCACCUACGGAAA